CGAGUAAUAGAAAGCGUGUCGAGUGCUUUGUAUCGCCAAUACUAAGCCACCCAGCCCUGAAGAAGUGAGAGCAUUCAACUCACCUUCCUCACCAAACACCACCUAAAAGCAUUCGUUUCAGACCAUCCUCUCCACAAAGAAAGCUGUCAUGUGGUGGUGGAAGCAGUAGCAGUAGCAGUAGCACCCGCCUUCUGGUGCUUGUUUUACUUGACAGGUUACGAGGUCCUUAUCACGGCCAAUUUAUUUGGACUCUUUCCCAACCCGACUCAUCACCGUUCAAUCACUGUUUGGAGAGAAGAGAGAGGAUAAAGUAGCUCCAUCUUUUGCAUGCUAAUCAUCAAAAUCGCCUCUCAGUCUUUCUCCAAGACAAGAAUUGCACACUUUUGGAGGUUCCACUGAAGUAGGAGGCGGCCGGAACCGGAGAGGUUAAGUCACAAGAUGAAGCCCAGGAACACCAGCCGUGGAAAGCCGCAAAGUUGCUGUUUUGGAUUGCUGGCCGUAAUCUUUCUGAUCUCGCUGAGCUACCUUACCAUGUCCAAAACCAGCAUGUUGCGCUUCUCCGUUGUGAACUCUCAGCUACCGCCGAUGACGAACGGGAAUACCUCCGACAUGGCAUCUGAUGUCUAUCCUGUGACGGAAGAUUCUUCGAUCCGUUCUCAAGGACUAGAAACAGAGGAGGCGGAAUUGGGAAGAAGCCUGGCUUGUGAGCUGAAAGAUGGUCAGUGUGAGACGGGUCACGGUAGGAUGGUGGUUAAGAAUUCUUCAACCGUUGUUGAUCAAGAUCCGACAAGAGUGAUGGCUAGCUCAGAUGAAUUAGUUUUUAAUGAAGAAGAAAGACGUGAUAAUGUAAAGCCUGGGAGGAAACCAAUAUGUGAUCUUUCAAACACAAAAUCAGAUAUCUGUGAAGCAGAUGGAGAUGUUAGAAUUAUCGGCAAGGAUACCCGCAUGAUAUAUGUUGCAAACUCUGAAUUCAGCAACAGAGAAACAGGUGAAUCUUGGACCAUCAAACCUUAUGCUCGUAAGUGGGACAAAGGCUCAGGUGCUAAAGUUCGGGAGGUAACGAUGAAACUAGUGAAGAGUCAUGGAGAAGAUAAACACUGUGAUGUUAAUCAUACUGUCCCAGCUUUGGUCUUUGCAAUUGGUGGAUGGACUGGAAAUUUCUUUCAUGACUUUGCUGAUGUGUUGGUUCCUCUCUUCGAGACUUCGUACCAUUUUGAAGGCGAGGUCCAAUUUCUCAUAGCGAACAUCAAACCGUUGUGGAUCAACAAGUACCACAAAUACUUUGAGAAGCUCUCACGGUACAAAAUCAUCGACUAUGACAAUGAUGAUAGAGUGCAUUGCUUCAAGCAAGUGACUCUUGGACUCCGGUGCGACCAAGGUGACUUUACAAUCAACCCCUCGAAAGAUCCUUAUGGUUAUACCAUGGCCGACUUCACCAAGUUCACAAGAAGUGCUUACUCACUGAAGAGAGAUCAUCCAGUGCGGCCAGGUGAACAAGCUGGUAAGAAGCCAAGGAUAUUGAUCGUAACAAGGAAGGCAACCCGAAAAUUCACAAAUGUAAAGGAGAUAGUUCGUAUGGCUAAGAAGGUGGGCUUCAAUGCAGUGGUCACUGAGGCAGAGGCCAACAUUACUAGAUUUUCGCAGGUGGUGAACUCAUGCGAUGUGAUGAUGGGUGUUCACGGAUCAGGACUUACUAAUAUCGUCUUCCUUCCAACACACUCUGUGGUGAUCCAAGUAGUCCCUUGGGGCAAUCUAGAUUGGAUAGCUGGGAAUUACUUCAGAGAUCCUUCCAGGCAAAUGAAACUGCACUAUUUGGAAUACAGUAUCAAUGAGGAAGAGACUACUCUGUCGGAGUUGUAUCCAAGAGACCAUGCUGUGUUCAAAGACCCAAUGUCGCUUCACCAUCAAGGAUGGGAUACAUUUUCCAGGAUUUUCCUGGUUGAGCAGAAUGUGAAGCUUGAUGUGAGGAAGUUUAGGUCUGUCCUGGAACAUGCUCUUCAACUUCUCCGUGAGCAGCAGUACAGAUGAAUUUAUCUGCUUAUCAUCAGUGAGCAGGUUUCAUUACCAUGCAUUCAGUUCUUAGCGAAAGGUGACAAGUUGCUGGUUGAUUUCUUCAUUUAUACUAGCUGUUUCGAAGUGAGAUAGGAGAUACUAUAAUGUUGAUAUGGCUCACAUUGCUUUCUUGUUGAAACAUUGUCAGGCAAUUCAACAAGGAUGGUGCAAAAGUUAGAAUUCUGAAGCCCCCAUGGGAAAUCAUGUGGGCCAAUUCACUGCUUCGAUGCCAACGUCAGGAUUGGUGGGUGCAGGUCAGUUAUGGUUAUGGUGAAAGCAUUAAAUAAACUUAUCUACUAUGUUUCCUUGUGAUGAUAGCAUGCACGUCUCAUAUUAAUAUUUCACAUGACUCUCUUGGGGAAACCCCAGGCAGUAGGCAAAGCCUUGAGGAAAACAACACAAGCACUUCACUGCAUGUGCUUUACUGGGUAUUGAUAAUAACAGAGCUGGCAACUACAUGGUGAGAGGUGGGGUUUGGUUCAUGACAUUUGAUAUUUUGUGUUGAACAGCCAUGGAUGAUGCAUGGAUCUCCCACCUGCCCACACUGCUGUCACAGGAAAAGAAGGUUGAAUUUUAUGAGUUCUUGUGAUUCAGGUGACAGGAUCAGCUCAAGAUUUACUUUCCUCACAAAUGCUUUUCGACCACCCGCUUUUCCUCAACAAUAAGAUUUUCAUGUCUUUAACUAUUUACCUAUUGGUUUUCGGUCGGUUCGUCAGUCGGUUUCUGCUUUGGAAAAUAUCAUUUUCGCUUUUGAGAUGAAUGAUUGGGUUCAUAAA